rnacentral:rRNA from 1 species
GACGAACGCUGGCGGCGUGCCUAAUACAUGCAAGUAGAACGCUGAAGAGAGGAGCUUGCUCUUCUUGGAUGAGUUGCGAACGGGUGAGUAACGCGUAGGUAACCUGCCUUGUAGCGGGGGAUAACUAUUGGAAACGAUAGCUAAUACCGCAUAACAAUGGAUGACACAUGUCAUUUAUUUGAAAGGGGCAAUUGCUCCACUACAAGAUGGACCUGCGUUGUAUUAGCUAGUAGGUGAGGUAACGGCUCACCUAGGCGACGAUACAUAGCCGACCUGAGAGGGUGAUCGGCCACACUGGGACUGAGACACGGCCCAGACUCCUACGGGAGGCAGCAGUAGGGAAUCUUCGGCAAUGGGGGCAACCCUGACCGAGCAACGCCGCGUGAGUGAAGAAGGUUUUCGGAUCGUAAAGCUCUGUUGUAAGUCAAGAACGAGUGUGAGAGUGGAAAGUUCACACUGUGACGGUAGCUUACCAGAAAGGGACGGCUAACUACGUGCCGGCAGCCGCGGUAAUACGUAGGUCCCGAGCGUUGUCCGGAUUUAUUGGGCGUAAAGCGAGCGCAGGCGGUUUGAUAAGUCUGAAGUUAAAGGCUGUGGCUCAACCAUAGUUCGCUUUGGAAACUGUCAAACUUGAGUGCAGAAGGGGAGAGUGGAAUUCCAUGUGUAGCGGUGAAAUGCGUAGAUAUAUGGAGGAACACCGGUGGCGAAAGCGGCUCUCUGGUCUGUAACUGACGCUGAGGCUCGAAAGCGUGGGGAGCGAACAGGAUUA